CAAAACAAAAGUAAGGAAGUAAGGGCAACCAAAAAAAUCGCAGAUAGCAAGUGGGCUGGAACGCCUGACAACUUGAUUUAAGGUCCGGAGCAAAUCGGCAAUGCAAACUAAUCACA